rnacentral:rRNA from 1 species
GUGAGUGAUGAAGGUUUUCGGAUCGUAAAGCUCUGUUGUUAGGGAAGAACAAGUGCAAGAGUAACUGCUUGCACCUUGACGGUACCUAACCAGAAAGCCACGGCUAACUACGUGCCAGCAGCCGCGGUAAUACGUAGGUGGCAAGCGUUGUCCGGAAUUAUUGGGCGUAAAGGGCUCGCAGGCGGUUUCUUAAGUCUGAUGUGAAAGCCCCCGGCUCAACCGGGGAGGGUCAUUGGAAACUGGGAAACUUGAGUGCAGAAGAGGAGAGUGGAAUUCCACGUGUAGCGGUGAAAUGCGUAGAGAUGUGGAGGAACACCAGUGGCGAAGGCGACUCUCUGGUCUGUAACUGACGCUGAGGAGCGAAAGCGUGGGGAGCGAACAGGAUUAGAUACCCUGGUAGUCCACGCCGUAAACGAUGAGUGCUAAGUGUUAGGGGGUUUCCGCCCCUUAGUGCUGCAGCUAACGCAUUAAGCACUCCGCCUGGGGAGUACGGUCGCAAGACUGAAACUCAAAGGAAUUGACGGGGGCCCGCACAAGCGGUGGAGCAUGUGGUUUAAUUCGAAGCAACGCGAAGAACCUUACCAGGUCUUGACAUCCUCUGACAACCCUAGAGAUAGGGCUUUCCCUUCGGGGACAGAGUGACAGGUGGUGCAUGGUUGUCGUCAGCUCGUGUCGUGAGAUGUUGGGUUAAGUCCCGCAACGAGCGCAACCCUUGAUCUUAGUUGCCAGCAUUCAGUUGGGCACUCUAAGGUGACUGCCGGUGACAAACCGGAGGAAG